CGACCUUGAAAUACCACCCUUUAAUGUUUGAUGUUCUAACGUGGACCCGUAAUCCGGGUUGCGGACAGUGUCUGGUGGGUAGUUUGACUGGGGCGGUCUCCUCCUAAAGAGUAACGGAGGAGCACGAAGGUUGGCUAAUCCUGGUCGGACAUCAGGAGGUUAGUGCAAUGGCAUAAGCCAGCUUGACUGCGAGCGUGACGGCGCGAGCAGGUGCGAAAGCAGGUCAUAGUGAUCCGGUGGUUCUGAAUGGAAGGGCCAUCGCUCAACGGAUAAAAGGUACUCCGGGGAUAACAGGCUGAUACCGCCCAAGAGUUCAUAUCGACGGCGGUGUUUGGCACCUCGAUGUCGGCUCAUCACAUCCUGGGGCUGAAGUAGGUCCCAAGGGUAUGGCUGUUCGCCAUUUAAAGUGGUACGCGAGCUGGGUUUAGAACGUCGUGAGACAGUUCGGUCCCUAUCUGCCGUGGGCGCUGGAGAACUGAGGGGGGCUGCUCCUAGUACGAGAGGACCGGAGUGGACGCAUCACUGGUGUUCGGGUUGUCAUGCCAAUGGCACUGCCCGGUAGCUAAAUGCGGAAGAGAUAAGUGCUGAAAGCAUCUAAGCACGAAACUUGCCCCGA
rnacentral:rRNA from 2 species